rnacentral:rRNA from 1 species
UAAUACGUAGGGUGCGAGCGUUAAUCGGAAUUACUGGGCGUAAAGUGUGCGCAGGUGGCCGCGCAAGUCGAGUGUGAAAUCCCCGAGCUUAACUUGGGAAUUGCGCUCGAAACUACGUGGCUCGAGUGUGGCAGAGGAAGGUGGAAUUCCACGUGUAGCGGUGAAAUGCGUAGAGAUGUGGAGGAACACCGAUGGCGAAGGCAGCCUUCUGGGCCAACACUGACGCUCAUGCACGAAAGCGUGGGGAGCAAACAGGAUUAGAUACCCUGGUAGUCCACGCCCUAAACGAUGAUGACUAGUUGUUGGGGGAGUUAAAUCCCUUAGUAACGCAGCUAACGCGUGAAGUCAUCCGCCUGGGGAGUACGGUCGCAAGAUUA